rnacentral:lncRNA from 1 species
AUGCCGGUGAGGCUGUGCUGCAUGACUCAGCUUGCUGGCCUGCUUUGCUCUUGUGUCCCUGGGAUUUUGCUUUUGCAGGAGUUGGCAUGGAUGAAGAGUGCCGAUGUCUACAGCCUCACUGACAAGCAGGAGCAAGCCAUGGCUCAGAGACAGCGGCUGGGUUCUGAAGCACCACUGAGGACAAGGAGGAAGCUUUCUUGUGGAGCAAACAGCCGUGAAGACGCUCACCACGGUGGAGAAAGCUGCAAAGUUGCUUCACAGAAGAACAAUUUACUCUGUUGUCUACAGAGCAGCGGGCAAGGAGAGACAAAUGGAUUUGUGGGAACGAACACUUUGUCACAAGUUUAAAACCAGUAAAAAAUGGAGCACACACCUUGGAGCAUAAGGUUUUUGAAUCAGCGAAUUCUUUAUUUCUUUUAUUGCUUCCUCCUGAAGGCAGACAUUCCAGUUGCCUAGCACAUAAUGUAGAUUGAAUUGUGAAAUAAGUUUCUGUCAAGCUGAGUCUGCUAAAAGCGGUCACAAGUUCCAAAUGACUUUUCAAGUUUCAAACAAUCACCCGGACAUGAAAAAUUGGUCUUUUUCUCCCAGGACUUCCUGAACAGUAGCCUGCUCUCAGCUCUGAUCUUGACAAACUAUUAUAACUUACAGACUAUUCAGUUUAGGAGAACUUGCUGGGAGCAAGAUAAAUAAGUAAAUAACUACAAAUAAAUAGGUUUUGCUAAAUUUGGGCCUCCCCGAAGGCUAAUCCAUUUUCAAAUUAGCAUGUACCCAAAAUGACUAAUUUGGAAAAUUAUGCCUGUGGGGGACAGUCUAAAUAUGGGGGCAAUUCCAGAUGCUUAGUGUUUGCUCUACAAAGGCUCAGAACUUCUUACUCUUCACCAGACACAUCUCAGCACCCUGUUUUCCUUCUUCCCACUUGCCCGUCAUGUUAUUAACCUUUAGCUACUCUCUGAGAGGGCCUCGAGAAUCGAGUGUCAGUAGGAUAGUGUCUAUCUGCAGGCUUGCGAAGCACAGCUAUGUGAAAACAGAUUCAUGUGUAAAAUUCUUGUGUAUGCAUAAUAAAUGUAAGAACACCUCUGAGCUAAAAUUAAUGAGUCCAUACUUAAACCUUGGCGGUUUUUAAAAUUACCUGCCUGACGACAAUUUCAGUUAAUCACAUUA